UCCAGACUCCUACGGGAGGCAGCAGUGGGGAAUAUUGCACAACGGGCGAAAGCCUGAUGCAGCAACGCCGCGUGAAGGAAGAAGGGUUUCGGCUCGUAAACUUCUAUCAACAGGGACGAAAGAAAUGACGGUACCUGAAUAAGAAGCCCCGGCUAACUACGUGCCAGCAGCCGCGGUAAUACGUAGGGGGCAAGCGUUAUCCGGAUUUACUGGGUGUAAAGGGAGCGUAGACGGUGCAGCAAGUCUGGAGUGAAAGGCAGGGGCCCAACCCCUGGACUGCUCUGGAAACUGUUGUACUUGAGUGCAGGAGAGGUAAGUGGAAUUCCUAGUGUAGCGGUGAAAUGCGUAGAUAUUAGGAGGAACACCAGUGGCGAAGGCGGCUUACUGGACUGUAACUGACGUUGAGGCUCGAAAGCGUGGGGAGCAAACAGGAUUAGAUACCCCUGUAC
rnacentral:rRNA from 1 species